AUUCCUCUCGAGCAAUCCAAAUAAGAAGAUCAAUAUAAAAACUCACAUAAUCUAAAAAAAUCCAUCAAUCAAAAAUUUAAUCCUAGGGAAUUAAGCCCACAAAAAAAAUAUCUAAGUGCUCUAGGUGUCCUAAGUGGGAAACUAAACCAAGGAGGUGCCUAAAUGAUUGAAGAAAAUGUGUAGAGUGACCUAGGAAUGUACCUACUGGGCCAAGUGCAUCUAAGUGGGCCUAGUGGGCCUAAUGAGUCAUCAAGGAAUUAUUGUAAAGUACCAAACGUACACGUAGAAGGACUUGUGCUAGUAGGACAAAAUGGAGGGUCUACAUAGGGCUUAACCCCGGAUAGGUGGUGGAAACCACCAAGUUAGAGUACAGUAGGGGCAUAGGGAAUUUUCGGUGGAGCGAUGAAAUGCAUAGAGAUCGAAAAGAAUACCAACAACGAAAGCACUCUGGUGUGUCGACACUAAAAUUGAGAGAUGAAAGCUAAGGGAGAAAAUGGGAUUAGAUACCUAAGUAGUCCUAGCCGUAAAUGAUUGAUAUUAGGCGAUUUGCGUAUCGACCCAUACAAUUUUGUAGCUAAUGCGUUAGGUAUCUCGCCUGGGGAGUACAUUUGCAAAAAGAAACUCAAAGGAUUAACGGGAGCUAGCACAAGCGAUGGAGCAUGUGGUUUAAUUUGAUGCAAAGCGAAGAACCUUACAAAGGAUUGACAUGCCAUGAAUCCUCUUGAAAGAUAAGGGUGCCUUUGGGAACGCGGACACAAGUGGUGCAUGGCUAUUGUCAGCUCAUGUCGUAAGGUGUCAUGUUAAGUCCCGCAACGAGCUUAACCCUCAUGUUUAGAUGCCACCAUUGAGUUUGGAACCUUGAGCAUAUUGCUGGUGAUAAACCGAAGGAAGGUGAGGAUGACGUCAAGUCAUCAUGCCUCUUAUGCCUUACGCGACACACAUAUUACAAUGGCCGGCACAAAAAGUUUCGAUCCUGCGAAGGUAAGCUAACUCCAAAAACCUAUCCUCAAUUCAAAUUAUAGGUUGCAACUUGCAUAAAUGAAGCCAAAAUCACUAGUAAUCGUCGGUCAACUAUAUGGUAGUGAAUUCAUUCCCAAGCCUUGUACACACCACCUGUCACACUAUAGGAGCUGGCCAUGCCCGAAGUCGUUACUUUAACCACAAUGAGGGGGAUGCCAAAGGCAAGGCUAGUGACUGGAGUAAAGUCGUAACAAGGUAGCCAUACUGGAAGGUGUGGUUG
rnacentral:rRNA from 1 species